GUCGCUGACCUUUGAAGGGUUGUGCACGCCUCGGUGCUCUCGCACAUAUCCAUCUCACCCUUGUGCAUCACCGCGUGGGGCCCCUUUUGGUUAUUUCUGAGGGGGGCUUUUCACGUUUUUACACAAACACCCUUUUAAUGCAUGUGUAGAAUGUCUUACUUGUUGUGAUCACACACAAUCAAUACAACUUUCAACAACGGAUCUCUUGGCUCUCGCAUCGAUGAAGAACGCAGCGAAAUGCGAUACGUAAUGUGAAUUGCAGAAUUCAGUGAAUCAUCGAAUCUUUGAACGCACCUUGCGCCCUUUGGUAUUCCGAGGGGCACACCCGUUUGAGUGUCGUGACAUUCUCAAACCUUCUUGGUUUCUUGACCGGGAAGGCUUUGGACUUUGGAGGCUUUUGCUGGCCUUCUCUUGUUGAAGCCAGCUCCUCUGAAAUGAAUUAGCGGGGUCUGCUUUGCUAAUCCUUGACGUGAUAAGAUGCUUCUACGUCUUGGGUUUUGCACUGUUCCGCUUCUAACCGUCUCAUAGAAGACAAUGGCCGAGUGAUUGCCACUUGACCCACAACCC
rnacentral:rRNA from 1 species